GCGCCUCGUGAAUUCAUCUCCGGGGGUAGAGCACUGUUUCGGCUAGGGGGCCAUCCCGGCUUACCAACCCGAUGCAAACUGCGAAUACCGGAGAAUGUUAUCACGGGAGACACACGGCGGGUGCUAACGUCCGUCGUGAAGAGGGAAACAACCCAGACCGCCAGCUAAGGUCCCAAAGUCAUGGUUAAGUGGGAAACGAUGUGGGAAGGCCCAGACAGCCAGGAUGUUGGCUUAGAAGCAGCCAUCAUUUAAAGAAAGCGUAAUAGCUCACUGGUCGAGUCGGCCUGCGCGGAAGAUGUAACGGGGCUAAACCAUGCACCGAAGCUGCGGCAGCGAACGUAUCACCCAAGACAACUUUACGGAGUUGACGAUUGACGGAGCGAAGCGACGUCAAAGCGUUCAUUAAAGUCGAGUUGGCUUAGGGAUACGUUCGUUGGGUAGGGGAGCGUUCUGUAAGCCUGUGAAGGUGUGUCGUGAGGCAUGCUGGAGGUAUCAGAAGUGCGAAUGCUGACAUAAGUAACGAUAAAGCGGGUGAAAAGCCCGCUCGCCGGAAGACCAAGGGUUCCUGUCCAACGUUAAUCGGGGCAGGGUGAGUCGACCCCUAAGGCGAGGCCGAAAGGCGUAGUCGAUGGGAAACGGGUUAAUAUUCCCGUACUUGGUGUUACUGCGAAGGGGGGACGGAGAAGGCUAUGUUGGCCGGGCGACGGUUGUCCCGGUUUAAGCGUGUAGGUGUGUGUUCCAGGUAAAUCCGGUUCACUUUAACACUGAGGCGUGACGACGAGGCACUACGGUGCUGAAGCAACAAAUGCCCUGCUUCCAGGAAAAGCCUCUAAGCAUCAGGUAACACGAAAUCGUACCCCAAACCGACACAGGUGGUCAGGUAGAGAAUACCAAGGCGCUUGAGAGAACUCGGGUGAAGGAACUAGGCAAAAUGGUGCCGUAACUUCGGGAGAAGGCACGCUGACACGUAGGUGAAGUGAUUUACUCAUGGAGCUGAAGUCAGUCGAAGAUACCAGCUGGCUGCAACUGUUUAUUAAAAACACAGCACUGUGCAAACACGAAAGUGGACGUAUACGGUGUGACGCCUGCCCGGUGCCGGAA
rnacentral:rRNA from 1 species